CCUUGGCCCAGUGGUGAAAACCAUCAUCUCAGGUUUUGAAGAGUGUGGGUUCGAGUUCUGU
rnacentral:tRNA from 10 species